rnacentral:rRNA from 1 species
UACGUAGGGGGCAAGCGUUGUCCGGAUUUACUGGGCGUAAAGAGCGUGUAGGCGGCCAAACAGGUCCGUUGUGAAAACUCGAGGCUCAACCUCGAGACGUCGGCGGAAACCAUCUGGCUAGAGUCCGGAAGAGGAGAGUGGAAUUCCUGGUGUAGCGGUGAAAUGCGCAGAUAUCAGGAAGAACACCUAUGGCGAAGGCAGCUCUCUGGGACGGUACUGACGCUGAGACGCGAAAGCGUGGGGAGCGAACAGG